UUUAUAUGAGAGUUUGAUCCUGGCUCAGGAUGAACGCCGGCGGUGUGCCUAAUACAUGCAAGUCGUACGCACUGGCCCAACUGAUUGAUGGUGCUUGCACCUGAUUGACGAUGGAUCACCAGUGAGUGGCGGACGGGUGAGUAACACGUAGGUAACCUGCCCCGGAGCGGGGGAUAACAUUUGGAAACAGAUGCUAAUACCGCAUAACAACAAAAGCCACAUGGCUUUUGUUUGAAAGAUGGCUUUGGCUAUCACUCUGGGAUGGACCUGCGGUGCAUUAGCUAGUUGGUAAGGUAACGGCUUACCAAGGCGAUGAUGCAUAGCCGAGUUGAGAGACUGAUCGGCCACAAUGGA
rnacentral:rRNA from 2 species